CGCUCGCCUUCUUCUUCCUCUUACUUUUUCUUGUUUGUUUCCAUUUCUUCUUGUUUCUCCUUAUUCCUCACCUUCUUUGUUUUCUUCUUCCGCCUCUUCUUCCUCAUUUCCUUUCUUUCUUCGUUUACUUCUUCUUCUUUGUUUCAUUUUUCUUCUUCUCUAGAGCAGCCGUUGUCCGCUUGUUCCGUUCGUGGUUGCUGAUUGAUGUCGGAGAUGAAAACUGAAGACACCAUUGUCACCGAUAGGAGCUUUCCGGAGAAAGAAAGAAGGAUAAGUUGUUCUUACCGUGUUCUUGAUUUUGUUUCCUUUUGUGUUCUGCUUCCUUGGAGUAGCAACAAAUGCUUUGUUGAUAUCUAGUUACAUCUCUUGUUUUGAAAAUUAUUUAAUUAUAUGUUGUGUUGCUACUAUGGGUUAUUCUGAUUUUGUGCAAAAAAUAUGUCAUAUGUGAAAAUUAGAAAUUGAAAAAAUUCUGUUAGUUGAGCUGAAUUCCAAGAUCCAAUCACACUUAUAUGGUUGUGUGAUGUGAGAUAUUUGUGGAGAAAACUCUGAGAUGAGGAUUGUGUAUGACAAUCUAAACAUUAACAUUUGAGUCACUUAUAGGAGAAUAACAUUAAACACUGCAGAAAUGUAGUUGGUCCUGUAAGUAACAUAUACUUGCAUUAUAAUUUUUUGCGAUUGAUUCGUGUAUGUAAAUGUAUGGAAUAAAAGAUUCAUUGGAGUUAUGCCGAUCUCACCAUGCCUCACCUUGAAGUCUUCACUACUUCUAAAUGGAAGUAUUUAUCCUUGCUAAUAUUAUAAUAUGAUACCAUGUUUUUUCAAAUAAUAUAUCUUAUAUUAAUAAAUCACUGCGGGACUAGAUUAUUGCAGGCGAAUCUUUUAUAGCCACUUAAAGACAUUGAAACCAUAAAUGGCAAUAAAAUUGUACUACACCCCGGAGAAUUGCUCUUAUGAAUGAUUUGAUGUUUUAAAUAGUUAAGUUUCUAUUGUUAGUUGUCAAAUGCAUUUGUAAUUAUGUUAGGAUUUUCUGUACUUGAGUAUGCUUUAGUUUCUACCGUCACUAGCUAAAUAUAGUUGAAUUAGAUAAUAUGCUCUGGCACAGUUGUUCGUCUUAUCAGUUUAGUUUUAAAUUUUUUGUUGAUAUACAAUAAUGGUUGCAUUGAUCCUUGGUGAAAGUUAAUUGGAGGAUAAGUUGAUGAGCAAUGAACAACUUUUUUUUGGCUUAUCUCAGGCUCUUCGGAAGUUCCCAAAAGAAACUGAAAGAGACGAAUCUUGAUAAAAAUGCCUUAGAUGCUUUACCAUUAUUUUCAAAGCUCCUCCUCAGUGUCAACCACAAUCGUUCAAAGGCAAAAAAAUAUGCAAGUAUGAGGAUUAGUAGAUCAACCCCAACCCUCAGUCCCCUCUAAAAUUCUGCACCACGAAAAAUUCUGCAAUCAGGGAAGUUUUUCUUGGCUUUGGAUGUUGAUAAUAUAUAAGUUUUCUUCUUGAUUGUUUGCUUGUAUAUGUCUUGAUUGUUGUAGGUUAGAUUAGAUUGGUUUACGUUGUUUAAUUUAUGUCUAGUUCCUUAACCUUGUUGUUGCAGUAAGAUAAUUUGUGUUGUUCUGUUUCUUGGAUUUCCUUGGCUAAGAUGGGCUGCUCCUUUAAUUAACUUAGAUUGGUAUGGUUCUAAAUCUAAGUUAGUUUUGUGUUUAUUUAGUUGUUUAGGUGUAGAACUUGUUAAUUAAGCUUGGAUUCAAUUUUAGUCGAUGUUUAAUAUAAUUGUUAUUUACUAGUAGGUUUGCACUUUAUUGUGAAGUUCUAAUAAAUCAGAGAUUCUCAUCAGUAUUGAAUAGAAUGUGGGAGUCAUGUCCACACUUAUGGAAGCGUGUUUCGUGAUUUUAUCAUUUUCAAAUCAUUAUUCCUUUGGUCGGAUAAUUUAUCCUUGGGAACAACAUGAAGAUUAUUUCUAUUGCUGAUGAUGAAUUUCUUAAUAGCUUUUAGCUCUGAAUGAUGUUGAUAAUCUAAAGGAUCUGUUUAAUGGUAUUAUAUAACAAUCGAGGUUUUCCAUUUGUUUGACUAUGUGUGAAGCAAAAUGAAGAUAUCAAAUUGCACUGAUGCUUUUUGAGAUACAACAUUGUUGUAGCAAGUGAAGCAUUUUUUUAUCAUUCAUUUUGAUUAAUGUGUUGCAGAGUAGCAUAUUCAGGGGUCAGCCUAUUUCAUUAGUGCUUUUCGAGUUUAUUUGUUACUAUACUUGUAUUUAAGAUAGGGUCCCUUGAUCAAGCUAAAGUGUAAGUUUUAUUUUAUUAUAUUUAUCCAUAAUGUCUACAGAGGCAGACCUUCCUCGUAACUAGCGCUCGUUUAAACUAUUUAUAUAGGUGAUACCCUAGUCAUUGUUAAGGUGUAUGUUACAGCUGUAAUAGUCCCGGAGAUCGCACUUAUCCUUCCAACUAAUGCUGGAGCAAAAAUUCUCGAUGAUGUAUUCGACGGAGAUAAUAUCGAGUAGAUUUACCAGGAUUUGGUUCGUCGCCCGUGAUUGCAUACUCCAUGAUUCUGCACUCGACGAGCUGGGUCAUUCAUAGUUGUAUUUAUGAGUUGCCCUUAAGAUCGUACUUACAUAUGAUAUCAGAUUUAUCUAUUUACGUAUUACUUUUUGGUUUUGCGUAUUGUUAUUUAGUGGGUUGUUAUGUUGGUGUACGGAUUGGUGUUUUCUUGGGAUGUUUUGUUAGCACCGUUGACGACUAAUAUUUUAUUUUUGUUUGGACUAUGAACAUCGUUGUAUUGAUGACCAUGUGUAGUAUUACUAUGGAUUUGGAAAAAAUUAU